rnacentral:rRNA from 1 species
AAGUACAAAGAGCAUUAGAAGGAUGCCUAGGUAUUUAUUAAAGGACGUUUUAUCGAAAAUUUAUGGCUAACUAAUGUUAUGAUACCAUAAGAUUCCUAAAGGGAAACCUCUUAAUAUUUAAGAGUAUUCUAUACAAGAAUUACUAAAAUGUAGUGAACUGAAACAUCUAAGUAACUACAGAAAAAGAUAUCAAACGAAAUUCCGUAAGUAGUGGCGAACGAACAUGGAUCAGGCUUAUUAAAUUUAAAUUAAUUUUAUAUAAUUUUUUAAAAUCAAAGAUGGAAAAUCCAGUAUAUAAAAUUAGUUUUUAGUUGUAUAAAGUAAAACGGAACACGUGAAAUUCUGUUUGAAUAUAGGGGGACCAUCCUCUAAGCCUAAAUAUAAUAAAUAACCGAUAGUGAACAAGUACUGUGAAGGAAAGGUGAAAAAGCUUAUUUAUAUUUUUUAGUGAAAUAGAACCUGAAAUCUAAUGCUCGAUAACAAUUGGAGCUUAUAAAUAGUGACAAUGUACCUUUUGUAUAAUGGACCAGCAACUUUAUUAAUUUAGCAAGCUUAAUUUGAUAAAAGUAGGCGUAGUGAAAGCAAAUUAGAACAUAAUAAACUGAGUUAAAUUAAUAAGACCCGAAAUCAAGUGAUCUAACCAUGAACAGGUUGACUUUAAUGUAAAAGUUAAAUGAGGACCGAACUCGUAUCUGUUGCAAAAGAUUGAGAUGAUUUGUGGUUAGGGGUGAAAGGCUAAUCAAACUUGAAGAUAGCUGGUUUUCUGCGAAAUCUAUUUAGGUAGAGUGUUAAAAAUAUGAAAUAUGAGGUAGAGAACUCGAUAGAAAAGGGGGACAUUUAUUGUCUUACUAAUUUUAAUGAAACUACAAAUGCGUAUUUUAUUUUUUUAGCAAUCAGACUUUGAGUGCUAAGAUUCAAAGUCGAAAGGGAAACAGCCCAGAUUGUAUGUUAAGGUCUCUAAAUUUAAUUUUCUAAUCGUAUAAGGACUUUUAAAGAUAAUGACAACCAAAAGAUAGGCUCAGAAGCAGCCACUCUUUAAAGAAAGCGUAAUAGCUCAUUGGUCUAGUUUUUAAAUUCCGAAGAUGUAUUGAGACUUAAGAAUAAUACCGAAACAGCAAAUUUCUAAAUUAGAAAUGGUAGCAGAACGUUUUGUAUGCUUUAAAACUAGAAUUGAAAAAUUUUAGUUUAGUAUCAAAAGUGAUAAUGCUGGUAUAAGUAGAAUAAACAAUGUAACUAAACAUUGUCGCCGUAAACCCAAGGUUUUUAAAAUAAAAAUAAAUUGUUUUAUAAUAUACGGUCUCUAAGAUAAAGAUGAUAAUUUUUAUCAAUGAGUUAUAUUUAAUAAAUUUUGUAAAAAUUAUAGAAUUAAAUAGAAGUAGUUGAUUUUUUUUGGAUAAUUUUUAUACGCGAAAAAUUAUUAAGUGAAACCGUACUAAAACCGACUCAGGUGGGUUAGUAGAAUAUACUAAGGCGUAGAGAUAAUCAUAGUGAAGGAACUCGGCAAAAUGACUUCGUAACUUCGGGAGAAGAAGUUCCUUAAAGUAAAAUUUAAGGAGGUACACAAUAGGGGGUAGCGACUGUUUAAUAAAAACACAAGACUAUGCCAAAUCGUAAGAUGAUGUAUAUGGUCUGACAUCUGCCAAAUGCCGUGUAGUUAAAUUCAAAGGUUAAAUGCUUUUGAUAUAAGCAGCGGUUAAUGGCGGCCGUAUCUUGACGGUCCUAAGGUAGCGAAAUUCCUUGUCAAUUAAUUGUUGACGCGCAUGAAUGAUGUAACGACUUCCCCACUGUCUCCACUAUGAACUCUUUGAAAUUGAAUUAUUCGUGAAGAUGCGAAUUGCAUAUGGCUAGACGGUAAGACCCUGUGCACCUUUACUACAAGUUUACACUGAUUACGAAUAUUGAAAUGUGUAGAAUAAGUGGGAGUCUAAACAACAACAGUGAAAUACCACUCAUUUUAAUAAUUUGUAGCUAACUAAAAGGAAAACUGUAAAUUUGGUAGUUUGACUGGGGCGGUAACCUCCUAAAAAGUAACGGAGGUAUAUAAAGGUAAACUUAAAUUAUUUAGUAAAUAAUGAUAGAGUGUAAUGGCAUAAGUUUGCUUGACUGUAAGAUUGACAAAUCAAACAGAAACGAAAGUUGAUCAUAGUGACCCGGUAGUUCUUUAUGGAAAGGCUAUCGAUCAAUGGAUAAAAGGUACGCCAGGGAUAACAGGCUGAUGACUCUCUAGAGCCCAUAUCUACGGAGUAGUUUGGCACCUCGAUGUCGGCCCAUCACAUCCUAGAGCUGCAGCAGGUUCUAAGGGUUUGACUGUUCGUCAAUUAAAGUGGUACGCGAGCUGGGUUUAAAACGUCGUGAGACAGUUUCGUCCCUAUCUACCAUAUGUUUAAGAAAAAAAAGGAAAGAUAAUCUUAGUACGAGAGGACCAGAUUAGGUUGAUCAAUAGUGCAUCGGUUAUUUCUACAAAGUACAGCCGAGUAGCCAAAUCAAUAAUAAAUAAUUACUGAAAGCAUAUAAGUAAGAAUUUUAUUCCUAAUUUUUCUAAAAAAUGUAAAAGACUAUUACGUUAAUAGGCUUAUAGUGUAAGCAUGGUGACAUGUUGAGCUUAUAAGUACUAAUUUUUUGAU